GUUCUGUAAAUAAAACCAACACGUUAAUUAGUAAAAUAGAAAUAGCCAUCGUUUUUUUUUUUUACUAAUUGAAAUUUUCUGUUUAGUUCAUCCAGCAUGUGUUUGAGCUAAACGAACAACACCAACGCAGAAUUCGCCUUAGCCACGAGCACAUGGUAAACAAGGCUUGUUUACUCAUUUUACCUACGUUUGGCCAGCGUUAGUUAACUUAUUAUCGGAGUAUAUUUAGAACUCUCGACGGGUAUUCAAGGUAAUAAUUCGUCUAUUUUGGAAAUAUUUAUAUCGAGUAAUAAACUCUAUUUUUUUCCUAGGUAUUGCUCGCAAAAUGCAGUUAUUUAACGACAGCUGAUGCUAACCUGAACCUACCUACCUACGAGUAUAUUCGUUUGAAGAAAGAAACAACUUGUGGAAUAGAAAAAGGAAAUUUUAAUUUCGAAUUGAGAUAUGUAUUACUUCACCUAUACAAAUAGAACGAAAAGUAAAGAGCACGCAAACAAGCGAGUUGGAAAAUUUGGCACACGAAUUAUUACCGAACUUGCGCACCACGCUGCCAAUAAUACAGCUGCGGUUCCUUUUCAUUCCUAUACCCAUCGAGUAUCGAGAAUUUGGCGAAAUUGAAUUUUGAAAAAGAAUCGUUUCACUCACCUGUGGUUUUUUACGGUAUGUGUCGACGCAUUCUACGUUCAAUUUGAUGAUUUCCAUUUUAUAUUUAUAUCCGUAUGUGGUCAACUUGAUAAUUGUAUGUAGUGGUACGUUUAUGUAUGGAAGUUCGUCUGGAAAAAUGAUACCGAAAUGAGUACAUAUUGAGAGAUUUUUCAGUGUAGGUACAUGGAUGGAGGGUGUGGGUGAUAAUUACCAAUUCUUUUAUUGAGAAAAUAUCCCAAAAUGCAUCUGAGUACUGC